UGAAAAGCUCAUACAUAUAUCCUUGUUUAAUCUUAUUGAUGGAGGGCGGAAGUAGAGAGACACACAACUUAAGUGGGAAAAUAGAAAGCUUAUUUUAUUGGAAGUAGAAGGAAUGAAUUAAUCUACUUGGACGAUGUUUAACUCUCCUCUCUUUAAUUUCUCUCUCUCGCUACUCAGAACAUACUGUGAAUUAUACUUCACUACCUUUCAUUAGUUGAAUAAGGCCAUUAAAAUAGUCAUACAAAAACAGAAUAAAAAUUGUUACGUAGAGAAAUAUAAAAACUAAACACUUUGGUCAACGCCACUGGAAGGCUUCCAUAAAUCUUAUUGUGAUUGAUAUCAAACCAAAUCAAGGUUUUCUUCGGAAACGUCACAGGAGACAGAUCAAAGGAGAAGGCGUUCCUGGAAAGAUCAAGUACCUGAGUUUUUUUCUUGCUUCCGAAAAGAAAUGAAGCAUCGCCUACCAAGUUGUUCCUUGACAAGUCUAUAUUGUCUGGGUCUAGGUUGCCCAAGGAAGGGGGAAGGGUCCCAGAAAGUUGGUUGUGAGAGAGUUUGAGAUCUGGCCCGGGCUUCUUGAAGGACCCGAAAGAGGCCGGGAUUGGGCCCGUCAAUUUGUUCCUGUCCAACUGUAGAGACCCGAGAUUAGGGAGCUGGGAAAGUGAGCUGGGAAUGGAGCCCGAGAGGCUGUUAAAGGAAAGGGCUAUAUACUCGAGGGUCUUAAUCUGGCCUAGAAAUUCAGGUAUUGAGCCUGAGAGACCAGUAUAUGUGAUAGAGAGAGAUUUGAGUUUGGUGAGUUUGGUGAUGGUUGUCGGAAUUGGGCCGACGAGGUUGGGGAGCUUGUGAAAGUCAAGGUACUCGAGGUAAGGGAGGUCACCCACAGAGGGUGGUAUUUGGCCAGUGACAUUGGGGUCUGGAAAAGAGGAUACUAGAAAUACUUCGUAGAUACGAUUAUUUCUGUCGUCACACUUAACACAGUACCAGUCACAGCAAUCCUCUUUUGGGUCCCAAGAAGCUAAGAAGUAAGGGUUGUUGAGUUCCUUUUUGAAGCGGAGGAGCACCUUCUUGUCCUGUGGGUGGCACCGCUCCGAUACUGCAACUGGAAAUGGGGACAACACUAGGACGCAUAGUCCCAACAUCAUUAACAGGCUUCGCAUUUUGCUUAUGAAUGUGAAGUCACAAGUUGUGUGUUCCAGAAGUACAUCGACACCCUUCUCAUUCCUCUCAUUUUAAACAACGAGGCGACGGUGCAGGGGUAAGUCACAUUUCAUGUUUUUCACAUGGGGAAUAAUAUCCGGUGCUAGUCACCAUCACACGUCAAAAUCACCCAUGUGGGGUUGUCUAUCGAAACAGUAUCCGUGAUUUACAGCUUUUUCCUACCCACUGCUGGCAUAUACACGCCAAAACAAAGCCAAUUAAAAACACAAAUACUAUACAUUAUUUAAUAAAAAAAAUUCCAACAACAGUAUUUUCUUUAAGGACAAUCAUGUUUUAACAACACUUUUAACUUUUUUUUACAACAGGACAGGUGUCACCAUUUCAUUCGUUUGUUUGAAUUUAUUUUAAAAAAUAUUUAAAACGGACCAAUUAUAAACUGUCACAUACGCGUUGUCAAAAAAAAAGGUUGUUAAAGAGACUUUUUCCUUUCUUUAACAAGUGUUAUAUGAUGAAGUUGUUUCCAACGGUUCACAAUUUAAAUUUUAAAUUGUCAUUAUAAUUUUUUAGAAAACUCUUUAAACAUGUUGAAAUAUGCAUAACGCAAUUUUAAAAGGAUAUAUAGGGAUCUAAUUUAAACUACUUUACCCAUAGUAUGCAAAAAAAAAAAACGAAAAUGAUAUUUUAACCUUUUUAUUUUUAUCUUUUACACAUAUUAUUAGGUUACAGGUGUGCAAACUAAAAUAAUUACAAAAAUGGAUAGUUUCUUACUCUUUAAAUUACAAAAAUAAAGUAGGUGACUUAAAAUUUAUAGUCCAAGAAUAAAUUUAUAGAAUUGUGACGACUUCUAAAAUUAAAUUAUCGUAAAAAUUUACUACGUGAAGUUGUUAAUUAGGAUUGAUGAUGAUUAAUGUGUAAAAAUGUUGGAUGAAAGUUAUUAAAAAUGGUAACGACUUUUAAUUUAUAUGAUGUCGUUUAAAAUAGUGAUAACUUUCAAUUGAACAAAAUUCGUUUGCAAUCAUGACAAUUUUAAUACACAGUUUUUCGAUUAAAGUUAUCAUUAGUGAUAAUGAUUUUCAUUGUGAAAUUGAGCUUCUCUUCUAUUACAAAGUUGAAACCGAGGAGUUUGUGGAGUUAAAACCGAACUUAUCGAGUUCUCUUCUAUUGUCUAGUCUAUCGAGCUGAAAUCAAACUUUUCCUUUUAUGUUUUUUAUAUAUACUAGUUGAUUGACCCGUGUGUACACACGUGUUAUUUGUUUUUUUUUUUCUUAAUAAUUAUUUUUAUUUUAUAUUUAAAAAUAAUAAAGUAGUGAAAUUAUUAUGUAAUGAGAUAUAAUGAAAAUUAGUUUGUGUUGUUGUAAUAAUUAUUAUUAAAAUAAUCAAAUAGUAAAUUUAAGUGAUAUGAUAAUAAUUUUAAUGUUGAAUAUAAUAAGUGAAAUUAAUAUUGUCAACAUCCCAUUUUAUUUAGGUAACAAUGAUGAUAAAUGAAGAUUAAAAUUAACUUGAAAAAAAAGUGACAUGGAAAACAAAAUAAAAAACUAUGUUGGUUAAGUUGAGAAAUACUAUAUAUUUUAUUUUAUUAUUUACUUUUUAUUUUAUCUUAUUUUAUUUAAGUUAAUUUCUUAUUGUUUUAUUUUAUCUUUUUAUCUUAUUUUAUUUUUACUUUUAUUUUAUCUUAUUCUACUUUAUUUUUAUUUUUAUUUUUAUUUGAUUUUAGAAAAAUGAUAAAAAGUGAAAUGAAUGAGUGAAGUGAAGUUGAAAGAAAUAUCGUAUAUUUGUGUCAAUUAUUUUGUUUGGACAGUCUACACCCUUUGCUCAUUUUGGCUAUAGUCUCCAUGGACCAGUAUAUGUUGUCAUUGAUUAUAUAUCAAAGGAUAAAGCCGCCAACGUGUUCACUAUAAAAAUAUAUAAUUUUUUUAAGGAUUAUUUUUAACGUUAUCGACUAUUUUAAUCUCUGUAAAAUGUAUUAUCUAUGAUUGCAAAAAUUGCUGGAAAAAACAACAUCGUUAAGUAUUAUCGGUGAUUUUUGGCUAAAACAGCCGCAAUUUAUUGGGAUUUUGCUAAAAUCGCCAGUAUUUCCCAAGGUGUGAAAUGGAAGCCAAGAGAGCUGCAUGGCUUACCACAAAAUAGUUGGGAUGGUAAUUCACCUACUGGUUAUGAGGAGGCUUAUCAAGAUGAUAGAACAACAGUGGACAACAAGGUCUCAAUAGUGGACAUUAAGUUCAGAGGUUAGAAAAAGGGAAUAUUUUGAGGAGCGGUUGAAGGCAAUUUUGAAGGAGGUGGAAGAGGCCAAGGAGAAAGUUAUUAUGUUCAUUGAUGAGAUUCAUUUGGUUCUUGGUGUUGGAAAAGGUGGGGGUUCCAUGGAUGCUGCUAAUUUGUUUAAGCCUAUGCUUAUGCAAGGUCAGUUGAGGUGCAUUGACGCCACCACACUUAAGGAGUAUAGGAAGUAUGUAGAGAAGGAUGCAGCCUUUGAAAGAAGGUUUCAACAGGUGUACGUGGUGGAAUCAAGUGUUGUUGAUACUGUAAGUAUAUCUUGAAAUCCAAGAAGAACCUUCGUCUACAAAGACCAAUUGCCGUAAUUAGUCUUUUCCGACAAGUGUGGCACACUCAUUCCAUUAACUACCUUUGUCAUCUCUCACAAAAAAAACUCAAGUACUCAUUUUUUCCCUCACGAUGUUUAACUCUCCUCUCUUUAAUUUCUCUCUCUCGCUACUCAGAACAUAAUCUGAAGUAUACUACGCUACCUUUCAUCAAUUGAAUAAGGCCAUUGAAAUACCCGUACAAAAACAAAAUAAAAAUUGUUACGUACAAAAAUAUAAAAACUAAACAACGGACAAAUAUCAUCAUCCAUUCAAAUUAACAAAAUAAAAAAUUACAUUUUUAACCCUUUUUAAAAUUUAAGUUUAUUUAAGACUUACAUCGUUAUUAUGUCGAAUAUGAACGCCAAAUAAGAUUGAAAAAGACAUUUUGGCCAGACUACAAUUAAUAAAUGGGAUUUUUGGUUUAAUUUUUCCGAAUGAAUAAACGCAAUUGAAUUUAAUUUAUCAUAUUUUGUACGAUUUGAAUUUAACUAUGAUAAUUCGAUAAUUUCAUAUCGGUAGGAUAAUUCUUGAAAAGAAAUAAUGAUUUGUUUAACUUUGAAAUUUGAGUUUUAUUAGUUUUAUAUAAAACAUUUGUUUACUAAAACGAGUGAACAUGAAGGUCAAGCAUUUAACAAGUUCAAAUAGUUCAUAUCACUCAACUCGUAUAUAUCUUUGUUUUCAGACUUUCAAUACCUAUGGAAGAGACCUUGUGAACAAGCAGGGAAGCUCAAUCCAGUUAUUGGAAGGGAUGAGGAAAUAUGAAGGGUUGUGAGGAUUUUAUCUAGAAGGACAAGAAAUUCCCCAAUUUUGAUUGGUGAAUCGGGUUUGGGAAAAAUUGUUGUGGUUGAAGGGUUGGCUCAAAUGAUUGUUAAAGGGGAUGUUCCUAGUAAUCUUUCUAAUGUUAGACUCAUUGCAUUAGACAUGGGUGUGUUGAUUGCGAAAGCGAAGUAUAGAAGGGAGUUUGAGGAGCGGUUGAAGGCAAUUUUGAAGGAGGUGGAAGAGGCUAAGGAGAAAGUUAUUUUGUUCAUUGAUGAGAUUCAUUUGGUUCUUGGUGCUGGAAAAGGUGAGGGGUCCAAGGAUGCUCCAAAUUUGUUUAAGCCUAUGCUUGUGCGGGGUCAGUUGAGGUGCAUUGGCGCCACCAUGCUUCAGGAGUAUAGGAAGUAAGUAGAGAAGGAUGCAACCUUCGAAAGAAGGUUUCAACAGGUGUACGUGGCGGAACCAAGUGUUGUUGAUAUUGUAAGUAUAUCUUGGGAUCCAAGUAGAACCUUCAUCUACAAAGACCAAUUGUCGUAAAUCAUUUUUUCCAACAAUUGUGACAGAAUCAUUCCAUUGAAUACCUUUGUCAUCUCUCACAAAAAAAAAAACAAAAAACUCAAGCACUUACUUUUCCCUUCACUUUGUUUAACUCUUCUCUCUCUAUUUUUUUUCUCUCUCGGUACUCAAAACAUAAAACUCUGAUACCACUUUGUUAAACUAAUCUUAUGCACACAAAAUAUUUUUCUGUGAAUUAUACUUCACUACCUUUCAUUAGUUGAAUAAGGCCAUUAAAAUAGUCAUACAAAAACAGAAUAAAAAUUGUUACGUAGAGAAAUAUAAAAACUAUACAAUGAAAAAAAUAUCCCCAUCCCUUGAAAUUAACAAAAUAAAAAAUUACAUUUUUAACCCUUUUUAAAUUUAAGUUUAUUUAACACUUACUUAGUCAUUAUGCUGAAUAUGAACACUACAUGAUAAAUUCGAAAAGACUUUUCGGCCAAACUACAUUUAAUAAAUGAGAUUUUAGGUUUAAUUUUUCUGAAUGAAUAAACGCAAUUGAAUUUAAUUUAGCAUAUUUUGUACAAUUUAAGUUUAACUAUGAUAAUUCAAUAAUUUCAUAUCGGUAGGAUAAUUCUUGAAAAUAAAUAAUGAUUUAUUUAACUUUGACAUUUGAGUUGUACUAGUUUAAUAUAAAACAUUUGUUUACUAAAACGAGUGAACAUGAUGAUCAAGCAUUUAACAAGUUCAAAUAGUUCAUAUCACUCACCUCGUAUAUACCUUUGUUUUCAGACUUUGAAUAGCGAUGGAAGAGAACUUGUGGAACAAGCAGGGAAGCUCGACCCGGUUAUUGGAUAAGAUGAGGAAAUACAAAGGGUUGUGAGGAUUUUAUCUAGAAGGACGAAAAAAUAACCCAGUUUUGAUUGGGGAACCCGGGGUGGGAAAAACUGUUGUGGUUGAAGGGUUGGCUGAGACGAUCGUUAAAGGAGAUGUUCCUAGUAAUCUUGCUGAUGUUAGGCUCAUUGCAUUGGACAUGAGUGUGUUGGUUGCAGGUGCGAAGUAUAGAGGGGAGUUUGAGGAGCGAUUGAAGGCAAUUUUGAAGGAGGUGGAAGAGGCUGAGGAGAAAGUUAUUAUGUUUAUUAAUGAGAUUCAUUUGGUUCUUGGUGCUUGAAAAGGUGAGGGUUCCAAGGAUGCUACAAAUUUGUUUUAAGCCUAUGUUUGCGUGGGGUCAGUUGAGGUGCAUUGGCGCCACCAUGCUUCAGGAGUAUAGGAAGUAUGUAGAGAAAGAUGCAACCUUUAAAAGAAGGUUUCAGCAAGUGUACAUGGCGAAACCAAGUGUUGCUGAUAUUGUAAGUAUAUCUUGGGAUCCAAGUAGAACCUUCAUCUACAAACACCAAUUGUCGUAAUUCAUUUUUUGCAACAAUUGUGGCACAAUUAUUCUUGUAUGAUAUAUAAAUGAAGAGACCUUGUGGAACAAGCAGGGAAGCUCGACCCGGUUAUUGGAAGGGAUGAGGAAAUACGAAGGGUUGUGAGGAUUUUAUCUAGAAGGACGAAAAAUAACCCAAUUUUGAUUGGUGAACCCAGUAUGGGAAAACCUGUUGUGGUUGAAGGGUUGGUUGAGAGGAUCGUUAAAGGAGAUGUUCCUAGUAAUCUUGCUGAUGUUAGGUUCAUUGCAUUGGACAUGGGUGUGUUGGUUGCGGGCGCGAAGUAUAGAGGGGAGUUUGAGGAGCGGUUGAAGACAAUUUUGAAGGAGGUGAAAGAGGCUGCGGAGAAAGUUAUUUUGUUCAUUGAUGAGAUUCAUUUAGUUCUUGGUGUUAAGGGUUCCAUGAAUGUUGCUAAUUUCUUUAAGCUUAUGCUUGUGUAGGGUCAGUUGAGGUGCAUUAGCACCACCACGUUUGAGGAGUAUAAAAAGUAUCUAAAGAAAGAUGCAACCUUUGAAAAAAGGUUUCAAUAGGCGUAGGUGACGGAACUAAGUGUUGUUGAUACUAUAAGUAUAUCUUGGGAUUUAAGAAGAACCUUCAUACAUAUCCUCAAAAGUUCAUACAUAUCCUUGAUUAAUCUUAUUGAUGGAGGGCGGAAGUAGAGAGACACACAACUUAAGUGGGAAAAUAGAAAGCUUAUUUUAUUGGAAGUAGAAGGAAUGAAUUAAUCUACUUGGUGCAGGGCAGAAGUGGAGAGCCACACAACUUGGUGUGAAAGAAGGCAUAUUUAUCGAAUCUAUGCAAUUCCCCACCCUNUGGUAUUUGGCCCUUNNACUGAGGAUUAUAANUGANGUUCAACUGCUGCAAAUUUUCCACUUUGGUCAACGCCACUGGAAGGCUUCCAUAAAUCUUAUUGUGAUUGAUAUCAAACCAAAUCAAGGUUUUCUUCGGAAACGUCAC
rnacentral:lncRNA from 1 species